UACGAAGGGGGCUAGCGUUGUUCGGAAUUACUGGGCGUAAAGCGCACGUAGGCGGAUUGUUAAGUCGGGGGUGAAAUCCCGGGGCUCAACCCCGGAACUGCCUUCGAUACUGGCAAUCUCGAGUCCGGAAGAGGUGAGUGGAAUUCCGAGUGUAGAGGUGAAAUUCGUAGAUAUUCGGAGGAACACCAGUGGCGAAGGCGGCUCACUGGUCCGGUACUGACGCUGAGGUGAGAAAGCGUGGGGAGCAAACAGG
rnacentral:rRNA from 1 species